CUUGGGCUUUUUUCAACUCUGAAAAUUUCAUAAAUCUUAUCAUGGUAAAACAUUGCUGAAAACCGAAAGUACGGUGAAACAAUCUUUUGUUUUGAUGUCCAUGAAAUCAUUUUCAUUUAAGCAAUUGUAACAAUAUUUGUGCACUUUAAAAUAAAUUUGACCGAACCGAAAAUUUUCAUUAUGACUUAGAUUCUAGUAAUCUUAGACUUGUUGGAAAGCUGGUUUUGUGCUCUACCUGAUACAAAGGUCUCAUGUAAAAAUAAAAUCAUUUGACCAGCCAAGCUUAUUAAAGAACUAGAACAUUUCUCGAAAUGUUGAUUUCUUAUUAUACAAGGUAUUAAUGUUAGAAAAGAGGGAAAGGAAAAAACAACACUUGGGCGCCUUGUCGCCGAAGCUCUUUGGCACCCCUCCAUUGCCUUUGGUCUCCUUGCCUCCUUGAUAACUAUGGCUGCAUUUCGAUGCUUGGUACCCAGAGAGACCCUUGAGAAGCCAACUGCUGCUUUAAUAGCCAUUGGAAUCUUUAACUACCUUUUUGAAGCGAGAAACUUGAAUUUUCAAGUAAACCUUUGCUUAUGGAACUCCUCUUUCCUUCUUUCUCUUCUCCUCUUUUGCAUAAAACCUCUCGGUUUACACAAAUGCACAACUAGUAGUCUUCUAACUUUGAAUGAAGCAAUAUGUCAUGUGUUGGUAUGGUCUCCUCUCUCUAAGCAGUGAUCCAUCAUCUCAGUCCAUCACUAGGCCCUGAGAUGGAAAUCAUUCACCAGAGCAAGGGAAGGGUUACCUUGGUCUCGUUGGAUUUCAGGAAGGAAUGCUACUCACAAAUAUCAUGCAAGCCAAAUUUUGUAUUCACUCUCAUGUGAGUGCUGUUUACCCCGAGUGGUGACCGGGUCAGUUGGGACAGGCCAAGUUACUUGUCUUGCCAUUGGGUGAGGAAAUGAAAGUCAGCUUGACCAACCCUCGCUUGACCCACUGACCUAUGAUUGGCAAAUAAAGAAUCAUUCAACAUGUAGUGAACUGCCAGAAUGGAAAACCCCAACUCUGGUAAAGAGAUGCACAUGCCCUCCAUCCUCGACAUCGAAAGGGCCCAAGUCAACAUCGUCAUACUGUUGAUUAUUCUCCAUCGACAUUGAACCAUCAGAGCAAAUGGCAAGCAAAAUCUUGUAGCUGUUGAGCCUCUCAGUCAAUCAUCUAUUAUCCCUGCUUCCUUCGAUGUCAAUGCUCUGUCGACAUUUCUCCUUCAACAUUGAGCCAACAGUUGAAAGUGUCGAAAAGAAUCUUCUGAAUGUCGAUACAUCAGUUGCCAUUUUACCUUCACACAACAUUGACAGACUGUCGAUUCUGAUGACUCUACAUUGGACAAGCUUCUUUAGGUCAAUCUUGGGCAAUUGCUUCUGAUCAACCAUACUAGCCUAUCUCUUAUCAACCCAUCACUGACGGCUUCAACAGACACUGUUGACGACAAUGACAAACCUUAGCUCAACAUUGAGUUCCCAAAAAAGGCAGGACAUAGGGAAUCUACAUUAAGUAAAGAUUGUAAUAGGUCAGCUAGAAUUGUCUUGUUUCUGCCUUUUUCAAUAUUCUCUUUCUUGUUCUUACAAGGGAUUUUCACUCUGCUGUUUUUCUUCUCCAUCUUGCUCCUUUUCUCUUUCAAGUGUAUUUUAUUACAAGAACUAUUAAUUGACAUAUUCAAUUGAGCUCCUUCUUGCUUCUUAUAGAAGUUGGCAUUGGUUGCAUCUUCAUGCCAGCAUUUUUUACUUAU